CAGUAAAGAGAUUUUAUACUGGAACCAUAAAGAUAGAGUGAAGAUCCUUACAGAUAAUAUUAUACAGCUUACAGGAAUCUGUCUAUUGUUAUUGUAAAGGUGCCACAGCUUCCUGUAGGUGAUUUAAACUCAAACUCUGGCCAAGUUCAGGCUAGUGUUAUCGCACAUUAAUAGCAUAAACCAAUUCUUAUCAUUGCAGUGUGAGUGUUUUGGUGGCUUACAAUAAAUCACCCUGUAUCCUGGUGUACAGAGGUCAGAACGGAAAAUAUACCUCCCUCAUUAUAAUCACUAACACCUUUGAGCAGAAACAGAGAUCUAUGAUCAGGUAUUAUAAUUGAGAUUACCGUAAACCACACAUGAAUAGCAGGAAUAGCAGUGAUGGUUCCUCGUGUACUGAGUGCAACUUAUGGGAUGGACUGAUAUAAAUGGCAGGCUGGGAACCUCAUUCAACAGAUUACUCUCAUUCAACAGAUUAUUCUGCCAGACAGACACAACCUGAGACUUAAAAAUGUCAGUCAUCAUCAUCAUCUUGAAUGUUUGGAUUCAGGAUCAAAAACUUCCAGGCCCAAGCAAAUGCUAAAGCGUCUUCUGCUCAGUGUUCCUGGGAUAAGCUCUGGAUCCACCACAACCCUGACAAGGAUAAAAUGGUUACUGAAAAUGAAUGAAUGAAAAAUGCCAAAUGGGGCAUGUGCGGUGCAGCUCGAUUGACCCACAAUCAGUGUGUAAAGCCUAACUGUACUGCGCUUGCAACCAAUCACUGAUCACCAUUGUUCCCCAUGACCAGUUACUGAUUACCACUGUUUUCCAAUGACCAAUCACUGAUCACAACUGUCAGUCCCACCCUUGCAUUUAUUUGGUCUUCUUUUUAAACUUCCUUCUUGAAGAUAUAGUAAUAAACAUUUCCCUACUAUUCAACUUUCACAAAUACUCAGUCAGCACAUCUUUUUUGUUCUUGUAUAGUAUUUUGUAAAUGUACUUAGUUCAAAGAUGACUUGUUUAUGUAAGAAAUAACUU